rnacentral:rRNA from 1 species
ACGAACGCUGGCGGCGUGCUUCACACCUGCAAGUCGAACGGAAAGGCCCUGCUUGCAGGGUACUCGAGUGGCGAACGGGUGAGUAACACGUGGGUGAUCUGCCCUGCACUUCGGGAUAAGCCUGGGAAACUGGGUCUAAUACCGGAUAGGAGCCAUUUUUAGUGUGAUGGUUGGAAAGUUUUUUCGGUGUAGGAUGAGCUCGCGGCCUAUCAGCUUGUUGGUGGGGUAAUGGCCUACCAAGGCGGCGACGGGUAGCCGGCCUGAGAGGGUGGACGGCCACAUUGGGACUGAGAUACGGCCCAGACUCCUACGGGAGGCAGCAGUGGGGAAUAUUGCACAAUGGGCGCAAGCCUGAUGCAGCGACGCCGCGUGGGGGAUGACGGCCUUCGGGUUGUAAACUCCUUUCGCUAGGGACGAAGCUUUUUGUGACGGUACCUAGAGAAGAAGCACCGGCUAACUACGUG